GCCAUGCCGCGUGCAGGAAGACGGCCCUAUGGGUUGUAAACUGCUUUUAUACGGGAAGAAUAAGGGAUACGUGUAUCCUGGUGACGGUACCGUAAGAAUAAGGACCGGCUAACUCCGUGCCAGCAGCCGCGGUAAUACGGAGGGUCCGAGCGUUAUCCGGAAUUAUUGGGUUUAAAGGGUCCGCAGGCGGGCAAUUAAGUCAGAGGUGAAAUGGUGCGGCUCAACCGUAGCACUGCCUUUGAUACUGGUUGUCUUGAGUCAUGGUGGAGUGGCCGGAAUAUGUAGUGUAGCGGUGAAAUGCAUAGAUAUUACAUAGAACACCGAUCGCGAAGGCAGGUCACUAACCAUGAACUGACGCUGAUGGACGAAAGCGUGGGGAGCGAACGGGAUUAGAUACCCCGGUAGUCCACGCCGUAAACGAUGGAUACUAGCUGUCCGCUACCUUGAGUAGUGGGCGGCCAAGCGAAAGUGAUAAGUAUCCCACCUGGGGAGUACGUUCGCAAGAAUGAAACUCAAAGGAAUUGACGGGGGCCCGCACAAGCGGUGGAGCAUGUGGUUUAAUUCGAUGAUACGCGAGGAACCUUACCAGGGCUUAAAUGCAGAAUGACAGGUUUAGAGAUAGACUUUUCUUCGGACAUUUUGCAAGGUGCUGCAUGGUUGUCGUCAGCUCGUGCCGUGAGGUGUCAGGUUAAGUCCUAUAACGAGCGCAACCCCUGCCGUCAGUUGCCAGCAAGUAAAGUUGGGGACUCUGACGGGACUGCCGGUGCAAACCGCGAGGAAGGUGGGGACGACGUCAAAUCAUCACGGCCCUUACGUCCUGGGCUACACACGUGCUACAAUGGCCGGUACAGCGAGCAGCCACUCCGCAAGGAGGAGCGAAUCUAUAAAACCGGUCACAGUUCGGAUCGGGGUCUGCAACUCGACCCCGUGAAGCUGGAAUCGCUAGUAAUCGGAUAUCAGCCAUGAUCCGGUGAAUACGUUCCCGGGCCUUGUACACACCGCCCGUCAAGCCAUGGAAGCCGGGAGUGC
rnacentral:rRNA from 1 species